UAAAUAAUGAUUGGAACAGGUGCCGAAAGGCCUAAUAGAGAAGCUGGUUAAAUGCCAGCACGGUCCCGCCACUGUAUCAGGGAGCGAGUCACAAUUAUGUCACUGGAUUUUAUCUGGGAAGGCGUGAUGAGCGAUGAUCUGGAGUCAGGAGAACUGCCUGUUUAACAAUCACCGU
rnacentral:ncRNA from 1 species